GAUGAACGCUGGCGGCGUGCCUAAUACAUGCAAGUCGAACGCACAGCGAAAGGUGCUUGCACCUUUCACGUGAGUGGCGAACGGGUGAGUAACACGUGGACAACCUGCCUCAAGGCUGGGGAUAACAUUUGGAAACAGAUGCUAAUACCGAAUAAAACUUAGUGUCGCAUGACCCAAAGUUAAAAGGCGCUUCGGCGUCACCUAGAGAUGGAUCCGCGGUGCAUUAGUUAGUUGGUGGGGUAAAGGCCUACCAAGACAAUGAUGCAUAGCCGAGUUGAGAGACUGAUCGGCCACAUUGGGACUGAGACACGGCCCAAACUCCUACGGGAGGCUGCAGUAGGGAAUCUUCCACAAUGGGCGAAAGCCUGAUGGAGCAACGCCGCGUGUGUGAUGAAGGCUUUCGGGUCGUAAAGCACUGUUGUAUGGGAAGAACAGCUAGAAUAGGAAAUGAUUUUAGUUUGACGGUACCAUACCAGAAAGGGACGGCUAAAUACGUG
rnacentral:rRNA from 1 species